UUGGACAAUGGGCGAAAGCCUGAUCCAGCCAUGCCGCGUGAGUGAAGAAGGCCUUCGGGUUGUAAAGCUCUUUUAGUCGGAAAGAAAGAGUUGCAAUGAAUAAUUGUGAUUUAUGACGGUACCGACAGAAAAAGCACCGGCUAACUACGUGCCAGCAGCCGCGGUAAUACGUAGGGUGCGAGCGUUCAUCGGAAUAACUGGGCGAAACGGGUGCGCAGGCGGUCUUGCAAGUCAGAUGUGAAAGCUCCGGGCUUAACCCGGGAAUUGCGUUUGAAACUACAAGGCUAGAGUGCAGCAGAGGGUAGUGGAAGUCCAUGUGUAGCAGUGAAAUGCGUAGAGAUGUGGAAGAACACCGAUGGCGAAGGCAGCUCCCUGGGUUGACACUGACGCUCAUGCACGAAAGCGUGGGGAGCAAACA
rnacentral:rRNA from 1 species